rnacentral:rRNA from 1 species
AUUGAACGCUGGCGGCAGGCCUAACACAUGCAAGUCGAACGAGUGGCGGACGGGUGAGUAAUGUCUGGGAAACUGCCUGAUGGAGGGGGAUAACUACUGGAAACGGUAGCUAAUACCGCAUACCAUCGGAUGUGCCCAGAUGGGAUUAGCUAGUCGGUGGGGUAAAGGCUCACCUCGGCGACGGUCCCUAGCUGGUCUGAGAGGAUGACCAGCCACGCUGGAGCUGAGACACGGUCCAGACGCCUACGGGAGGCAGCAGGGGGGAAGAUUGCACAAUGGGCGCAAGCCUGAUGCAUCCAUGCCUCGUGUAUGAAGAAGGCCUUCGGGUUGUAAAGUACUUUCAGCGAGGAGGCGUUACCCGCAGAAGAAGCACCGGCUAACUCCGUGCCAGCAGCCGCGGUAAUUC